CCCCUUUGCAUCGUAUUGCACUGUAUUGAUUUUUAUUAUGUUGCAACUAAAAUAAAAAAAUAGUUUUAUUAGCUAAUGCAGUUCAAAUGAACAAUAAUAAAAUGUUUGGCUCAUUUUUAGCUCACCUGGCCCGAAGGGCCAAGAGAGCUUUUAUCAUCACUUGGCGUCCGGCGUCGUCCGGCGUCGUCCUGCGUCCGGCGUUAACUUUUACAAAAAUCUUCUCCUCUGAAACUACUGGGCUAAAUUAAACCAAACUUGGCCACAAUCAUCAUUGGGGUAUCUAGUUAAAAAAUGUGUCCGGUGACCCGGCCAACCAACCAAGAUGGCCGCCAUGGCUAAAAAUAGAACAUAG
rnacentral:lncRNA from 1 species